GACGAACCGUGCGAACGUUGUUCGGAAUCACUGGGCUUAAAGGGAGCGUAGGCGGGCUAUCAAGUCUGGGGUGAAAUCCCACGGCUCAACCGUGGAACUGCCUCAGAUACUGACGGCCUCGAGGGAGAUAGGGGCAUGCGGAACUGUAGGUGGAGCGGUGAAAUGCGUUGAUAUCUACAGGAACUCCGGUGGCGAAAGCGGCGUGCUGGAUCUCUUCUGACGCUGAUGCACGAAAGCUAGGGUAGCAAACGGG
rnacentral:rRNA from 1 species